AAUAGGAGUUUCAUGGCCUACUCUUAUUGGUGGGCCAACUCACUGGACAAUUGGGCUUGUUGCAACCUUAAUCUCUAUCAGUAGCAUCAUUGCAGCUGACACUUACGCAUUUCUGCGUGGCAAGGGUUAAAACACAAGAGAAAACCCAUCAGCACUACACAUUUGGGGAUUUAUUCAAUCACACCAUUUAGGGCUGGUUUGCUUUCAACGGCGGCUGCUAGGUGAACGACGCUCGACGACACACAUUUGGGGAUUUUGAUUGGUCUUAAAGCAUUGGAUUGGUAG